rnacentral:rRNA from 1 species
UACGUAGGGGGCAAGCGUUGUCCGGAUUUACUGGGCGUAAAGAGCGCGCAGGCGGUCGUUCAAGUCGAGUGUGUAAGCCCCCGGCUCAACUGGGGAGGGUCACUUGAUACUGAUCGACUCGAAGGCAGGAGAGGGAAGCGGAAUUCCCGGUGUAGUGGUGAAAUGCGUAGAUAUCGGGAGGAACACCAGUGGCGAAGGCGGCUUCCUGGCCUGUUCUUGACGCUGAGGCGCGAAAGCUAGGGGAGCAAACGGG